AACGAACGCUGGCGGCAGGCUUAACACAUGCAAGUCGAACGGGUGUAGCAAUACAUCAGUGGCGCACGGGUGAGUAACGCGUGGGAAUAUGCCCUUUGGUACGGAACAACCUCGGGAAACUGAGGCUAAUACCGUAUAAUAUCUGCGGAUCAAAGAUUUAUCGCCAAAGGAUUAGCCCGCGUUGGAUUAGGUAGUUGGUGAGGUAACGGCUCACCAAGCCGACGAUCCAUAGCUGGUCUGAGAGGAUGAUCAGCCACACUGGGACUGAGACACGGCCCAGACUCCUACGGGAGGCAGCAGUGAGGAAUAUUGGACAAUGGAGGAAACUCUGAUCCAGCCAUGCCGCGUGAGUGAUGAAGGCCUUCGGGUUGUAAAGCUCUUUUACCCCUGACGAUAAUGACGGUAAGGGGAGAAAAAGCCACGGCUAACUUCGUGCCAGCCGCCGCCGUAA
rnacentral:rRNA from 1 species